rnacentral:misc_RNA from 1 species
CCCAAGGCAGGGUUGAUGAUUGGGGUUAAGUCGUAACAAGGUAUCCCUACCGGAAGGUGGGGAUGGAUCACCUCCUUUCUAUGGAGUUUAAUUUCUUUUAAGAAAUCAAGACAACAAGAAAAAUCAGAUGUGUGACUUAUUGGAUUAAUUUAAUUGUUCUGUUUAGUUUUCAGGGAUUGUUAUCUCUGAGCAAUUGUUCUUUAAAAACUGGAUAAUAGACAUCUUUUAAAAAAAAUAAGAUAAAUUUUAUCUUGCAAUAGGAUAUUCUAAAAAUAAAUUAUUAAGAG